rnacentral:siRNA from 1 species
CAUUACUGGUGGUGCGUUGUUGAG